rnacentral:rRNA from 1 species
GUAUUUAAAAGGUUGUUGGCAGUUAAAAAGCUCGUAGUUGAACUUUGGGCCUGGGCGGGCGGUCUACCUAUGGUGAGUACUGCUGCGGCCGGGUCUUUCCUUCUGGCUAGCCCUUGUGGCGAACCAGGACGAUUACUUUGAGGAAAUUAGAGUGUUCAAAGCAGGCCUUUGCUCGGAUAUAUUAGCAUGGAAUAAUAGAAUAGGACGUAUGGUUCUAUUUUGUUGGUUUCUAGGACCAUCGUAAUGAUUAAUAGGGACGGUCGGGGGCAUCAGUAUUCAGUUGUCAGAGGUGAAAUUCUUGGAUUAACUGAAGACUAACUACUGCGAAAGCAUUUGCCAAGGACGUUUUCAUUAAUCAAGAACGAAAGUUAGGGGAUCGAAGAUGAUCAGAUACCGUCGUAGUCUUAACCAUAAACUAUGCCGACUAGGGAUCGGGUGGCGCUACUUUGCCCACUCGGCACCUUACGAGAAAUCAAAGUUUUUGGGUUCUGGGGGGAGUAUGGUUGCAAGGCUGAAACUUAAAGGAAUUGACGGAAGGGCACCACCAGGAGUGGAGCCUGCGGCUUAAUUUGACUCAACACGGGGAAACUCACCAGGUCCAGACGUAAUAAGGAUUGACAAGUUAGAGACUUCUCUUGAUCUUACGGGUGGUGGUGCAUGGCCGUUUUUAGUCCUUGGAGUGAUUUGUCUGCUUAAUUGCGAUAACGGACGAGACCUUAACCUGCUAAAUAGGGCUGCGAGCAUCUGCUCGUGGGCUCUUCUUAGAGGGACUAUGGGUAUCAAACCCAUGGAAGUUUGAGGCAACAACAGGUCUGUGAUGCCCUUUAGACGUUCUGGGGCCGCACGCGCGCUACACUGACGGAGCCAGCAAGUACAACCUUUGGUCGAGAGGCCCGGGUAAUCUCGUGAAACUCCGUCGUGCUGGGGGAUAGAGCAUUGUAAUUUUUGCUCUUCAACGAGGAAUUUCCUAGUAAGCGGCAAGGUCAUCAGCUUGCGUUGAUUACGUCCCUGCCCUUUUGUACAACACCGCCGUCGCUACUACCGAUUUGAAAUGGCUUAGUGAGCUUCAGAUUGCGCCGCGGGAGAGGCUACCUUUUGCCAAUGGGCUGCGGAAAA